rnacentral:rRNA from 1 species
UACGUAGGUGGCAAGCGUUGUCCGGAUUUACUGGGCGUAAAGAGCGCGCAGGCGGUCGUGCAAGUCGCGUGUGAAAGCCCCCGGCUCAACUGGGGAGGGUCACGCGAUACUGCUCGACUUGAAGGCAGGAGAGGGAAGUGGAAUUCCCGGUGUAGUGGUGAAAUGCGUAGAUAUCGGGAGGAACACCAGUGGCGAAGGCGACUUCCUGGCCUGUUCUUGACGCUGAGGCGCGAAAGCUAGGGUAGCAAACGGGAUU